rnacentral:misc_RNA from 1 species
AACAAGGCGUACCUGCGGACCUGCGGAGGGAUCAUUACAGAGUUCGUGCCCCCGCGGGUAGAUCUCCCACCCUUGUGUAUUCCUUACAUUUUGUUGCUUUGGCAGGCCGUUGGUUCGCCAACCACCGGCUCUACGGGCUGGUGCGUGCCUGCCAGAGGACCCCCCAAACUCGGUUUGUUAGUGUCGUCUGAGUAACCAUAACAAUCGUUAAAACUUUUAACAAUGGAUCUCAGAUCGGAA